rnacentral:rRNA from 1 species
AUUGAACGCUAGCGGGAUGCUUUACACAUGCAAGUCGAACGGAGUGGCGAACGGGUGAGUAAUGUAUCGGAACCUGCCCAGUAGCGGGGGAUAACUACGCGAAAGCGUAGCUAAUCCCGCAUUCUAUUGGAGCGGGCGAUAUCGGAUUAGCUGGGUGGUGAGGUAACGGCUCACAAAGGCGACGAUCCGUAGCUGGUUUGAGAGGACGACCAGCCACACUGGGACUGAGACACGGCCCAGACUCCUACGGGAGGCAGCAGUGGGGAAUUUUGGACAAUGGGGGCAACCCUGAUCCAGCCAUCCCGCGUGUGCGAUGAAGGCCUUCGGGUUGUAAAGCACUUUUGGCAGGAAAGCGGUACCUGCAGAAUAAGCACUGGCUAACUACGUGCCAGCAGCCGCGGUAAUAC